CUGAAAUGGACACUAGAGGGCAGCAGUCUUUUAAUGGAGCUGAACCCUGACUGAAAGCUCUGGCUGCAGAAACUGUGAGGUGACCAACUGACAGGAGAAUCAGUUAUGUGCCAGGAAAAUGGAUUCCUGUGUCUGAGUCUGGACUGGACAGAGCGUCCACCAAGUCCCUGAAGUGAGGACCAGACAGACGGUUCAUGGAAAGUCCAAGCAUUUUCAGAGACGGGUUAUUCCUUACUACAGAUGCCAACUGGGUGCAGGAAGUGUCUGUCUGGACUGGACAGAGCGUCCAUCAAGUCCCUGAAGUUAGGACCAUACAGACGGUUAUUAUAGAGGCCAAAUCUCUUCAGGGAGGAGUUAUUCCUUAUUGCAGAUGCCAACUGGGUGCAGGAAGUGUCCGGUAGAUCAUUAUCACCCAAACUGCUGCACUCUAGAGAACACAAAGACAAAGGAAAGAGGUCCACAAGAUGGAAGCCAUGAAAGCCAUGUAGAUCCCUGCAAGCCGGACUGAUUACACGGCACUGACCCAAUGGCUGUCCCUGACGAUGAGAUGGACCGUCCAGUGUUCCUCAGAGCAGAAGUGAGGUUCUUACAAAGUUUUGUCUGGACUGGACAGAGCGUCCACCAAGUCCCCAAAGUGAGGACCAGACAGACGAUUAUGAGACAAGUCAAGUAUCUUCAGGGACUGGUUAUUCCUUAUUACAGAUGCCAACUGGGUGCAGGAAGUGUCUGGCUGGACUGCACAGAGCUUCCACCAAGUCAAUGAAGUGACGACCAGACAGACGGUUAUCAGACAGGACAAGUCUCUUCAGUGACGGGUUAUUCCUUAUUACAGAUGCCAAUUGGGUGCAGGAAGUGUCUCGUAGGUCAUUACUUUCCAAUCUGUAAGAAUAAGAAGAUGAGAUGUGGGUGACGUCUCCAUAGAGCGUUUCCAUGAUGAAUGAUAACACUGUGCAGUCUAGAGCCGACAUGCGAAUAUGAGAAAGGUCAAGUCUUCUGUAUGAUUGUAAUGAUUCCUC